GACGAACGCUGGCGGCGUGCUUAACACAUGCAAGUCGAGCGAAGUGGCGGACGGGUGAGUAACGCGUAAGCAACCUGCCCUUCAGAGGGGAUAAACAGUUGGAAACGACUGCUAAUACCGCAUACUGAUGGAGGGGAUUGCGUCGGAUUAGCUGGUUGGGGGGGUAACGGCCGACCAAGGCGAUGGUCAGUAGACGGGCUGGGAGGGUGAACGGCCACAUUGGGACUGAGACACGGCCCAGACGCCUACGGGAGGCAGCAGUGGGGAAUCUUCCGCAAUGGACGAAAGUCUGAAGGCGGACAGGCGCGUGAGUGAUGACGGCCUUCGGGUUGGAAAGCUCUGUUAAGCGGGACGCGGUACCGGAAUAGAAAGCCACGGCUAACUCCGUGCCAGCAGCCGCGGUAAUAC
rnacentral:rRNA from 1 species